rnacentral:rRNA from 1 species
AGGGGGCAUGCAGAUUUAGAAUAGAGCCUUCUUCGGACCCGCUUCAAGGUGCUGCAUGGUUGUCGUCAGCUCGUGCCGUGAGGUGUUAGGUUAAGUCCUGCAACGAGCGCAACCCCUGUCACUAGUUGCUAGCAUUAAGUUGAGGACUCUAGUGAGACUGCCUACGCAAGUAGAGAGGAAGGUGGGGAUGACGUCAAAUCAUCACGGCCCUUACGUCUUGGGCCACACACGUAAUACAAUGGCCGGUACAGAGGGCAGCUACACAGCGAUGUGAUGCAAAUCUCGAAAGCCGGUCUCAGUUCGGAUUGGAGUCUGCAACUCGACUCUAUGAAGCUGGAAUCGCUAGUAAUCGCGCAUCAGCCAUGGCGCGGUGAAUACGUUCCCGGGCCUUGUACACACCGCCCGUCAAGCCAUGGAAGUCUGGGGUACCUGAAGUCGGUGACCGUAAAAGGAGCUGCCUAGGGUAAAACAGGUAACUAGGGCUAAGUCGUAAAGGGGUAACCCGUA